rnacentral:tRNA from 1 species
UCCCUGGUGGCUCAGAGGUUAAAGCGUCUGCCUCCAAUGCAGGAGACCCCUGUUCAAUCCCUGGGUCGGGAA